UAAGGGCUCACCAAGGCGACGAUCCCUAGCUGGUCUGAGAGGAUGAUCAGCCACACUGGAACUGAGACACGGUCCAGACUCCUACGGGAGGCAGCAGUGGGGAAUAUUGCACAAUGGGCGCAAGCCUGAUGCAGCCAUGCCGCGUGUNUGAAGAAGGCCUUCGGGUUGUAAAGCACUUUCAGUCGUGAGGAAGGUAGUGUAGUUAAUAGCUGCAUUAUUUGACGUUAGCGACAGAAGAAGCACCGGCUAACUCCGUGCCAGCAGCCGCGGUAAUACGGAGGGUGCGAGCGUUAAUCGGAAUUACUGGGCGUAAAGCGCAUGCAGGUGGUUUGUUAAGUCAGAUGUGAAAGCCCGGGGCUCAACCUCGGAAUUGCAUUUGAAACUGGCAGACUAGAGUACUGUAGAGGGGGGUAGAAUUUCAGGUGU
rnacentral:rRNA from 1 species